GUUAAAAGAUGUCCAAGAACGAGAUAUCGUCAAAGUAUUGAGACUAGCAGGUUACGUAAACGACAACUGACUACAAAUUCUACCGUAUGUCAGGAAAAACCUUCGAACAAAACAGAAGAAAAAGAAGCGCCUUGUUUGAAGGCCCGCUACCUCCUGGACAGAAAAGGAUGGACCACAACUUGUCAUUUCCGGUGCAACAUGAGCUGGGCGUGCCAUGGACUCUUUAAUUCACC